rnacentral:tRNA from 1 species
GCGCCCGUAGCGCAACGGAUAGCGCACUAGCCUCCGGAGCUAGUGGUGGCAGUUCGAUUCUGCCCGGGCGCA